rnacentral:sRNA from 1 species
UAAACGGUGUUUCUUUUCUAAGGUGGACAGCAGCAAGGAAUCAGCUGAAGCAGCUUGUGAUAUACUAUCGCAACUUGUGAAUUGCUCUUUAAAAACACUUGGACUUAUUUCAACUGCUCGACCAAGCUUUAUGGAUUUACCAAAGUCUCACUUUAUCUCUGCACUGACAGUUGUGUUCGUAAACUCCAAAUCCCUGUCUUCGCUUAAGAUAGAUGAUACUCCAGUAGAUGAUCCAUCUCUCAAAGUACUAGUGGCCAACAAUAGUGAUACACUCAAGCUGUUGAAAAUGAGCAGCUGUCCUCAUGUCUCUCCAGCAGGUAUGUUGUGUUUUUUUGCUGGACACAUUUUAGUAAAAUGCAUUGCUAUGUUCAAAUUAGAAAAAACUAUGAUCAUUAACCUUGAAGGUGGAUUCACAUGACUGCUUCAUCUCUAAAAUAUUUUUAAUGUGGUAAUAGAAUAGCAUAAGUUCUGUAGGGUUGCUAGCCUAGACACUGACUUUCAGCUUAUUUUCUAAUCUUAUUUGAUAAAUUUAUGAAUAGCACAUGCUAGAAAAUGAACAG